UAGUUAUAACAUUUAUUUUUUAAUUAAUAAUUUGUUAUAAAGCACGAUUUUCCCCGCGGCAGCCCAAAUGAUGAGUUGGACUUGAUAUUUUUUGGCCUACAAAAUUAUGAUGUCAGUCAGACUCGUCGAAUUUGAAAUCACUGUAGGCUCAACUUGGAUAUUAUUGGAUAUUAUACAGUAUGAAAAAGUAUAUCUAUCUGAAUCAUAAAAUAAACUCCAAAUUUUCAAGGCAGUACGAAACAUCAUAAAAGUUCAAGAGAAGCUACUGGAUUUUGAACAUUUCAAACUCCAAAAAAUUCCAAGACUGUGGGAGGCCAUAGUGGACAUAACUUGAAUAAGUGGCUCUUGGUUGCCAGCGAGGGUGCGAGGAGUUGGUCAUAGCGGCGAAAAAGAUUUGCCAGCCAAAAUUAGUAGUGCGACGACCUAGGGUUGCCGAUUUUGUGGAGAUUGGAAAAGGACGAACAGAAAAUAUUGAGAGUGUUCGAUGGAGAUGACGGGUUUGAGAGAGAGAGAGAAUAGCUAGAUUACCUCAUCGGCAAGAAGAGUGGUGACGGUGAAUUCCUGGUGGCUUCGGGAUACUUCACGGUGGAAUGGGUUGGGGGAGAAGAACAGGGGCAUCUUAUUUGGUCUUUUCAUUUAACAUUUGGAUUAAUAAUUUUAAAAAAUAAUUAAUAGAGAUAAUUAUGACAUGUUAUUGAUUUAUGUGACAUGGAUUUGACCUGUUAUCUAUUUAUGGGCAAGUGAAUUAGGAGGGGUUCAAAAAUCAAUUAGUACGGAAUUAAGUAGAAGAAUUCAUAAUACAAAUUCGAACAAAUAUAAGGAUUUAUGAGA